GCCAAGCUGGCCGUGCUGGAUGUACGGCGCGACGAAUUGUAAGCCGACACAGGAUCGCCGUACCUGGGGGGAGUGUUGAGUACACCCUAAUGUACAUGCGCGCCUCUCUAUCCAAUCCGGUAUCUUUAGGUCGUACAUACACCAUUGUACGCUGGUAGCGUAUGAUACCUUCUUCCAUGAAGGCGUUUAUAGAAGGUGACGAAUGGACAGUAUUGUGCAAUAGAAAGUGUUGAAAUCACGUGCUGAAUUACAAUUCCUAAUUUACUACUCUAUUUGCAAGUAUUUAAACCUAAACUACUAUGAAAUUUUGCUACUUAUCUAAAUUCGCUUAAGGUAAUAGUUCUUAUAUAUGAAUUAAUGUGAAGUUAUACUAAAUUAUUGAAAUGCUAUAUACAGUGUCGCCUUAAACCUACAUAGUGCAUUACCAUAACCCUACAUCUAUUCGGAUUAAAAGCCUACAUGCAAAGGCUGAUCGAAAAAUAAGAACUCGCAUAAUCAGGAACAUUGAUCGCCGGCAGGUAUCGCACAACGGGACUAAACGUAAGUCAAAACGGACAAACAUAUAUUUCUCAAAGCACUAAAUGAACAUUAAAUAAUUAGAAUUGCAACAU
rnacentral:lncRNA from 11 species